UUGUUCAGGAAAAGCCUUGCCUAAAUAUAGUACUCUCUCUCUCUCUCUCUCUCUCUCACACACACACACACACACACACACAGAGAGAGAGAGAGAGAGAGAGAGAGAGAGAGAUUAAAGGCUAUGCUAUUUUCUGUA